UACGUAGGGUGCGAGCGUUGUCCGGAAUUAUUGGGCGUAAAGGGCUCGUAGGCGGUCUGUCACGUCGGGAGUGAAAACCCAGGGCUCAACCCUGGGCCUGCUUCCGAUACGGGCAGACUAGAGGUAUGCAGGGGAGAAUGGAAUUCCUGGUGUAGCGGUGAAAUGCGCAGAUAUCAGGAGGAACACCGGUGGCGAAGGCGGGUCUCUGGGCCGAUACUGACGCUGAGGAGCGAAAGCGUGGGGAGCGAACAGG
rnacentral:rRNA from 1 species